rnacentral:rRNA from 1 species
CGAUAACGAACGAGACCUUAACCUGCUAAAUAGCCCGCGCCGCCUUGGCGGCGCGCCGGCUUCUUAGAGGGACUAUCGGUGCAAGCCGAUGGAAGUUUGAGGCAAUAACAGGUCUGUGAUGCCCUUAGAUGUUCUGGGCCGCACGCGCGCUACACUGACAGAGCCAGCGAGUACUCCCUUGGCCGGAAGGCCUGGGUAAUCUUGUCAAACUCUGUCGUGCUGGGGAUAGAGCAUUGCAAUG